AUUGAACGCUGGCGGCAGGCCUAACACAUGCAAGUCGAGCGGAUGAAGGGAGCUUGCUCCUGGAUUCAGCGGCGGACGGGUGAGUAAUGCCUAGGAAUCUGCCUGGUAGUGGGGAUAACGUCCGGAAACGGGCGCUAAUACCGCAUACGUCCUGAGGGAUAAAGUGGGGGAUCUUCGGACCUCACGCUAUCAGAUGAGCCUAGGUCGGAUUAGCUAGUUGGUGGGGUAAAGGCCUACCAAGGCGACGAUCCGUAACUGGUCUGAGAGGAUGAUCAGUCACACUGGAACUGAGACACGGUCCAGACUCCUACGGGAGGCAGCAGUGGGGAAUAUUGGACAAUGGGCGAAAGCCUGAUCCAGCAAUGCCGCGUGUGUGAAGAAGGUCUUCGGAUUGUAAAGCACUUUAAGUUGGGAGGAAGGGCAGUAAGUUAAUACCUUGCUGUUUUGACGUUACCAACAGAAUAAGCACCGGCUAACUUCGUG
rnacentral:rRNA from 1 species